UACGUAGGGUGCAAGCGUUGUCCGGAAUUAUUGGGCGUAAAGAGCUCGUAGGCGGUUUGUCGCGUCUGCUGUGAAAACGCGAGGCUCAACCUCGCGCCUGCAGUGGGUACGGGCAGACUAGAGUGCGGUAGGGGAGAUUGGAAUUCCUGGUGUAGCGGUUGAAUGCGCAGAUAUCAGGAGGAACACCGAUGGCGAAGGCAGAUCUCUGGGCCGUAACUGACGCUGAGGAGCGAAAGCGUGGGGAGCGAACAGG
rnacentral:rRNA from 1 species